rnacentral:rRNA from 1 species
AUUGAACGCUGGCGGCAUGCCUUACACAUGCCAGUCGAACGGUAACAGGUCUUCGGAUGCUGACGAGUGGCGCACGGGUGAGUAAUACAUCGGAACGUGCCCGAUCUUGGGGGAUAACGAGGCGAAAGCUUUGCUAAUACCGCAUACGAUCUACGGAUGAAAGCGGGGGAUCUUCGGACCUCGCGCGGACGGAGCGGCCGAUGGCGGAUUAGGUAGUUGGUGGGAUAAAAGCUUACCAAGCCGACGAUCUGUAGCUGGUCUGAGGGGAUGAUCAGCCACACUGGAAAUGUGACACGGUCCAGACUCCUACGGGAGGGAGCAGUGGGGAAUAUUGGACAAUGGGCGGAAGCCUGAUCCAGCCAUGCCGCGUGUGUGAAGAAGGUCUUCGGAUUGUAAAGCUCUUUAAGUUGGGAGGAAGGGCAGUAAGUUAAUACCUUGCUGUUUUGACGGUACCAACAGAAUAAGCACCGGCUAACUUCGUG